rnacentral:rRNA from 1 species
UACGGAGGGUGCAAGCGUUAAUCGGAUUUAUUGGGCGUAAAGGGGGCGCAGGCGGGAGAGAUAGUCAGACGUGAAAUUCCGGGGCUCAACCUCGGAGCUGCAUUUGAUACUACUCUUCUUGAGGAUAGGCGGAGAAAACGGAAUUCCACAAGUAGCGGUGAAAUGCGUAGAUAUGUGGAAGAACACCGGUGGCGAAGGCGGUUUUCUAGCUUAUUCCUGACGCUGAGGCCCGAAAGCUAGGGGAGCAAACAGG